CUUUCACCCGGGGGGGUAUUUUAACUUCUUAAUGAUUUCUUCAUCGGCCUGAUGGGAGGAAAUGUCCGAAGGGCUCUGGGAAUGCCGAUGCUGCUCUCAGCAUCUCACAGGAAAACAUCAGUUUUAAAUUGGUAAUGCGACGCCGAGGUGGGGAGAUGGACCUUUAUCACAGGCUGCGCCAUCCAUUKAAAAGGAAUAUAAUAAUCAAUACAGGAAAGCUGGUUGUUUAAAAGAUUGAAGCAAUAUCAUUCAGCAUUAAAAUAAUUCCCAGGCUAACAAAAGGGACGUGAACAGUUCAUAAAUGAGGAAGAACUGUCAGAGUUUAUGACAAAAACAGCAUCAAGAGCACAAGGCAUAACGCAAUCAUUCGAUCAACUCUCCUCCAGCAAUUUCCAGGCCAGUGGUUAGAGCAGGAGACCAAUAAACAAGAUCCCCAAAUUCCACUUUUAUUUCUGCCUGGGAAUUGGCACGAAACAUUGCACAAGUCACAUAGGCCUUGCAGAAAGUCCUAACCUCAAGAAAAGCUCAGUAAGCAUUUGGUGUCCGUCUGUCCUCGAAAAACCGGCAAACUACAUUUGAGCUUCCGCUUUGGAAAAGGAGACGACUUCUAGUCACUAGCAGAGACAGCUGAGAAAUAAAACCCUUUCUUUUAAGCUUCCAGAAAUUUUCAAGCAGAAUUAUUUUUCGAUGAAAGCACUUCUGCUGACAUUUUUCAUCUUGUUUUGUUUUGCAAGAGCUUCCGGAAAGCAACGUGAGCGGAAAAUAUCCAUUCAAAAUGAAACAGAAAGUUGUUCUGUUUCCCCUCACUUUGUCUCCCGGGGAAGAUUUCAGCGGCGUUUCCUUUGCAAAAUAUUUUCUUUGCAAUUGCUUGCACUCAUUUCAGUCCUCCCGUCAGCGGUAAUUAUUUGCCACCUUGCAGAGUUCCUGUGACAUUUAUUUAACGAUCUUGAAAAGCCUUUAAGUGAAAACUGAAUGCAAGAGGACGAUAUUACAUGUUGUGAGACGGCACUGAAACACCCAGCGUCAAAGGCGUCAGCGCUCUUUAAACGGGGACCGUCUCGCCCACCACCGCAUCCCUAUUCKCAGCCUUUCCGUCCGCGAUGCUCCRMUGCUCUGAACGCAAACUCCUUCACCCAAAGAAAGGCCGGAAGGAGGGUCCCGUGCGUGGGACCGUCGGGAUGGCACGCCUCACCGUGCCUCAGCUUCCCCCUGCUCGAAGCSGGGACGGCCGCCCCUGC
rnacentral:lncRNA from 1 species